GACUGGUAUUGUAUUACUUACAAAUUUGUCUCUUUUCUUUGAAGUUAAUCCUUUCCAGGAUGCUCCAAAUGGGACUCAUUUUUGCCAAGAGAGAUCAUAGGUCAAAGAAAAUGUUGCGUCAUCACUUAUCACAUAUGUCAUUAAGGUGAACGAGACAUGCUAACAAUAUGGUUGAAGUAUUAAAUGCUAAACGGUAGCACACUUAACUUCUUUAAAGCUAAAUACCACAUGCAAUCGGAGAAGUCGGAUGUUGUUAUUUAGGUGUGUGCCCAAAGCCUGAUUUCAAGGGCCGGCGAUCUAGGUGUGCUAACCUGUUAGUCAACUCUGGUGAGAGAUUUGGCGUUUGAUGAAGCGCGUAACUUUUCGCUUCUGUCUUGCAUCUAAGCUAAUGGUGUAUGUUUGUCAAGCUAAUCUCUCCAAUUUUAGCAUAGUUCACACUCACCAUUAGCCCAUGGUGUCAAGUGAAAAGCUAAAUGCUCGCGUGCUAACUUGCUAACGUGGAAAUAAUUUGCUAGAUGGACUUGAUUUAUUGUAUGACGGAGAAUUAUGGGACAUGCGUUGUAUCCUUAUGUGCUUGCCGGCAGUUGUGUUAAGAUAAGAUAAGAUAUCUUUUAUUUGUCCCACACUGGGGAAAUUUACAGCCUCCAGCAGCAAGACGAAAGAAGAAAAAACAAACACCGUUCAAUUAAGUGGAUUAUAAAUACAAAAUGGAUAAAUCGCAGUGCUAUUUACAAUUGUUCUUUACUCAAUCAGGUUAACCUGUUGCUUAACCUAUAUUGUUAACCCAUAUGGCAUAUUCUUAGCCUCCAGGAGGCUAACAAUAUGCGACUCAUCACAAGUGCACCCUGUGUGAGAAGUUAGAGUACGGUAGUAUGCUUUCUCUUGAAGUUAAAUGUCCCACGCGAGGCGUUUACGAGAUAAUUUAAGCUUAAUUGGCGCGGUGGCGUGUACGAGGUAUUAUCUGUUCGUUUGCGUUGGUUAGCUUGCGAUCUGAAGUUGCUAACGGCUGAUCAUGUUUUCAGUUUUGCAGCCAUUUUUUUAAUCACCAAAUGUGUCAACAAGUUGACAAAGUGUAUUUCAUUCAUUUGAUAUUUUUUCUUUUUAUUGAGCUUUUUGGCCAUUUUUAUCACAUUCCAAUGUUAGCAGGACAAGUUAACUCAUCUUAGAUGAAGAAGUAGGCUGUGAUUAAUGUAUUUUGGAUGCACUUUGUUCAUUUGUGUGGGUUUUUUUGUACAAUGUUGGUUACAUUCUCUAUUUUAGUCAUAUUUUCAAAUGUCAAUAUUUUUUUACAUGCAUUUUUGUAUAAAGAUUUAAGUAGUAUGUAACUUAAACUAAAGCAUCAUCAAAACCACCCAAAUAUUCUUUAGAUUGAUUAACAUCCUCUCUUGUAGUUAUUACAUACAAAGAUGAGAAAAACGGAAAAAAAAUCAGAUGUUUGUCCAUUUUUGUAGGUUUCUUUUUACAGUUUGGUUUUAAAUGUUUGACUUGUGAUGUAAUCCUACAGAUCACUGACCGUUCUCAACUUUUUAUAGAGAUGUAAAUGGCAUGCUUGUGGACAGCCCCCCCCCCCCACCCCCCACCAGCUCUCAGUUUGGUUUCUUGUUUUUUGUAGCUUAUCAAAGCGGGGACUUUCUUUGUGUUUCUAGUGAGUCAUCCUCUCACUCUGCACUUCCACUGCAAUAUUUCUUGUUUUUCCACUCUAAUCUCAUCCAAGCACACACAUUGAUCAUGCCAUUGUUCACGUUGUAUUUAUUUUUAUCGUGCAAGUUGGCAUUUAACCCCAACUUUGCACAUUUGUGAACCAUUAGAAACCGGGAACAUCUUCGAUUGGGGGCUAAUUUUUUCUUGGGUAUGUUUUUUUUUCUUUAUGAGGUGAAAGUAUAAGAUUAAUUCCAUGGCAUGCACCUAUCAAAAAAAAAACUCUCGCAACACAGUGAAUGUGUGACUUGAUUACAUUGCGUGCGUGUGUGUGUGUGUGUGUGUGUGUU